rnacentral:tRNA from 1 species
GGUAGGGUGGCCGAGUGGUUUAAGGCGGCGGUCUUGAAAACCGCUAUAUCCGAAAGGGUAUCGUGAGUUCGAAUCUCACCCCUACCG